ACGAACGCUGGCGGCGUGCUUAACACAUGCAAGUCGAACGGAAAGGCCCUGCUUUUGUGGGGUGCUCGAGUGGCGAACGGGUGAGUAACACGUGAUUAACCUGCCCUUGACUUUGGGAUAACUUCAGGAAACUGGGGCUAAUACCGGAUAGGAGCUCCUGCUGCAUGGUGGGGGUUGGAAAGUUUCGGCGGUUGGGGAUGGACUCGCGGCUUAUCAGCUUGUUGGUGGGGUAGUGGCUUACCAAGGCUUUGACGGGUAGCCGGCCUGAGAGGGUGACCGGCCACAUUGGGACUGAGAUACGGCCCAGACUCCUACGGGAGGCAGCAGUGGGGAAUAUUGCACAAUGGGCGGAAGCCUGAUGCAGCAACGCCGCGUGCGGGAUGACGGCCUUCGGGUUGUAAACCGCUUUCGCCUGUGACGAAGCGUGAGUGACGGUAAUGGGUAAAGAAGCACCGGCUAACUACGUG
rnacentral:rRNA from 1 species